AGAGUUUGAUCAUGGCUCAGGAUGAACGCUGGCGGCGUGCUUAAUACAUGCAAGUCGAACGGAGAUAGUAGCAAUAUUAUCUUAGUGGCGAACGGGUGAGUAACGCGUUGGUGACCUGCCCCGAAGAGAGGGAUAGCAGUUCGAAAGGACUGAUAAUACCUCAUGUGGUUGUUGGUUUUAGAAUCUGACAACUAAACGGAUUUAUUCGCUUCGGGAGGGGCCUGCGUCCCAUCAGCUAGUUGGUAGGGUAAUGGCCUACCAAGGCGAUGACGGGUAGGGGACCUGAGAGGGUGGCCCCCCACAAUGGAACUGAAACACGGUCCAUACACCUACGGGUGGCAGCAGUAGGGAAUAUUGGUAAUGUGCGAAAGCGCGAACCAGCAACGCCGCGUGCACGAUGAAGGCCUUCGGGUCGUAAAGUGCUUUUAGAGAGGAUGAGGAAGGACAGUACUUUCUGAAUAAGCCUCGGCUAACUACGUGCCAGCAGCCGCGGUAAAACGUAGGAGGCUAGCGUUAUCCGGAUUUACUGGGCGUAAAGCGCGUGCAGGUGGUCUUGUAAGUUGGAUGUGAAAGCUCCUGGCUUAACUGGGAGAGGUCGUUCAAAACUGCGAGACUUGAGAUUGGUAGAGGGAGGUGGAAUUCCGGGUGUAGUGGUGAAAUGCGUAGAUAUCCGGAGGAACACCAGUGGCGAAAGCGGCCUCCUGGACCAAUUCUGACACUCAGACGCGAAAGCUAAGGUAGCAAACGGGAUUAGAGACCCCGGUAGUCUUAGCUGUAAACGGUGUGAACUUGGCGUCGGUGGGUUUAAAUCCAUCGGUGCCGAAGCUAACGCGAUAAGUUCACCGCCUGGGGACUACGGCCGCAAGGUUAAAACUCAAAGGAAUUGACGG
rnacentral:rRNA from 1 species